GCAAGCAGGAAUGGCUUCCCAUGCAGCCACAACUGCAGUGACACAACCAAGGGUGUGGGACCUGCAGCUGCAGGAGAGGAAAGGCAGGACCAUGCAGCAAGGCCUUAGAUCAGUUUACAACAAUUGCAUAAGCAAUCAUUAGGGAGCAUAACCACAGGGCUUUAAGCCAGGAAUACAUUAUGCCAAAAAUUAUGAAAGUAUUUGAACACCUUCCUGCUCAGUAUUCUGCAAACUAUACGUUUCUUGGUCUCUCCCCAGGAGAAAUGCCUGUGUACCACAGCAUCUUCUUCCAUGGACCCUUUCCUGUGCAUGCACAUUUGUGCUUUUUUUUUUUUUUUUUUUUAAACUCUUCAACUUGAAUUAGACAAGACAAGAUCAAAGAAAUUCACAGACCUGGUCAGCUCCCUGCCAUGAUGUCAACUGCCCUUUUUUAAAAGAAGGUGCAUUCCUGUGGACUAAUGUACAUGUGAUUGCAUAGUGUGGCCACUGGAUGUUGUCACUGCUCCUUAAUUUAUAAGAAUGCCACAAUCUCUGAAUUACUGUCCCCUGGAGAAACAAGGUACUCCCAAAAUACAAGGCAGCUCCAACAUCAGCUACAGCUGUUGACAGAGCACAUAAAACCACCACGAGUACUAGAACAUCUGAAUAAUGACAACAGGGAACAAAGCAAAUAUAACAUCUUACAGAAAAUGUAAAGCAUCCAUGAUGCUUUAAAUAACCAAGGAAGCCUGGACUCCAGUUAUUGCUCCAAUGAUUUACAAAAACAUCAAUAAAAGCACAAUGGGAGGCGCUAAAUGCGAUGCUUGUCAUUUAUCCAUUUGACAGUCAUCUGGAAAGUUUCAUUUCACUGAGAGAUCUACAUUUGUAUUUAACAUCAGGCAAAACAUUUCCAAGAUAAGAAAGCACUGACCAUCUUAAGGAGCUUCCUAGGCAGAACAGUCGAGAUGCUCCUUUGACAACGAAUGGGAUUAUGGAGAGAAGCUUCCGUUAGCUGACACAUUUGACAUACUUAAAUGAA